rnacentral:rRNA from 1 species
UACGGAGGGGGCUAGCGUUGUUCGGAAUUACUGGGCGUAAAGGGCGCGUAGGCGGUUUGGUAAGUUGGAAGUGAAAGCCCGGGGCUUAACCUCGGAAUUGCUUUCAAAACUGCCAAUCUAGAGUGUAGUAGGGGAUGAUGGAAUUCCUAGUGUAGAGGUGAAAUUCUUAGAUAUUAGGAGGAACACCGGUGGCGAAGGCGGUCAUCUGGGCUACAACUGACGCUGAGGCGCGAAAGCGUGGGGAGCAAACAGG